CCCUUAGAUGUUCUGGGCUGCACGCGCGCUACACUGAAGCUAUCAACACGUUUUCCCUCCCUGAGAAGGGCGGGUAACCUUUUGAAUCAGCUUCGUGAUAGGGAUCGGGGCUUGCAAUUGUUCCCCGUGAACCAGGAAUUCCUAGUAGACGCGAGUCAUAAGCUCGCAUCGAUUAAGUCCCUGCCCUUUGUACACACCGCCCGUCGCUACUACCGAUUGAACGUUUUAGUGAGGCAUUUGGACCGACGCAUCUCAGUUUAACCGCUGGUUUGUGUUGGAAAGACUUCCAAACUUGAGCGUUUAGAGGAAGUAAAAGUCGUAACA
rnacentral:rRNA from 1 species